CAGAGAGACCUAAAUGCAAGCCAAAUUUGCUGGCCCAGAAGUGUCAGGGUAGAAGCAAGUACAUUUGGUGGGUAAUCGUUUAUUACGGGGAUGUUUCAGAAUUACUCUAAUUCCUUGUGGUCUUUUGGGUUGGUGAUUUGCACUCUACUAGCCAGUGUGUUGGAUGACAAGUCUAAAAGACUAAAGGUCACAAGGUAUGGGAUUAGUCUAAUCCAAACCAGAUGUUCACAUGACACAUGCAUGGUGCUUACCCAUCACCAUCAGUUUCUGUUUCAGCCAGCCAAGAAAGAUAUUCUACGGUGUGAGUCAAGUAGCUUUUUGUGAAGUCAGAGGAGUCUUGUCCUGGGAAGACUGCCAAGACAGAGCAACCUGGUCAGAGAUGGAUGUCUAUACUGUAGCUUUUUUGGACUCCAACAGGUGAAUCACAGCUGCAGGGUCUUUGCCUGAACCUUACUCAGAAGAUUAGUAUUUUCCAGAUUUCAUUGUGGCUAGAAGCCAUGUUCCUCCAUUCUGAAGGAUCCCAGGAUGGAAUAUGAUUGUCUGGAUUUACCUUAUAACAUUGGAGUCUUCAUCUGAACUUUCCCUCAAGCUACUUUUGGUUGUCAACUACUUAUGACUGUAGUUCAAAGCUCUAUUAGCUCGGUCCCUGAUUCUUUCUGGAGUAUACCUGUGGACUGCAUCCCUUGAAUAUCACCUGAAUAGCUGGCAGUGACCUUAGUUAUCCUGUGUACGAGCAGCCUGCUUCCUGAACAUCAAUUCAUGAGAAAGUGAUGAAGUGUUUGAACAAUCAGCUAUAAAAUGUGGUGUAUCUUCUCUCUGGUCAGUUUUGAACUCACUGUUGAAUAACGGAGUGCACCAAGUCUCAGUGUUGAAAUUCUCCUUUGCUAAAUUCAGGCUGCUAAUAAGCUUCAAUGAAAAACACUGGAAAAUCAAGAUCUUUAAUGUUCCUACACACCCAGGAUAAAGGAGAAGCUGCUGAUAUAAGAAUAUGGGCUUGGACUGUUUGAAGACGUGUGAUGAGUCAGAAUCUGUACUUCUGCUGUUCUACAAGAACUGCUGCCGAAUGCUAAGUCUUGCCAACUGUGAAAUUGCUAUUUCUGCUUCAUAAUGUUUUCUAUCAAAACAGAAUGUAGAGAAAAGUGCUAAACAAGCAACUUCGAAAACAACCUAAUGUGAGAGAGAUGGAGAUGCUGAUUCUCAACAUGCUGAAAAGUCACAAAAAGCCUACUCAAAAUGAGAAGCUGACUACCUUCCACCAGAAGAGACUACCUCUAACCUCCUGAAAGGAC
rnacentral:lncRNA from 1 species